CUCCUCUGGCUGUGGGGCCCCCUGUGUUCCUUGUGGGAGGUGGAAGGAAGUGAGUGCCCUGUCCUUCCUCCCUGCCAUGAGAUUCCAGGACCGGACCUGGCAAGUGCCCUAUCCCAGCCAGUGUUCCUGGGGCUCUUCCAGGCAGGGCUAUGUUCCCCAGGCCAGGGGCAUUGUCCUGGACUGUCAGGAGGCAUACCCCCCGCCAGGUGGAACCACCCUGUGUAUGCAUGACCCUGACAAGCAGGCGCCAGGACAGUCAGGAGGCCAGGCCCGAGUGCCAGGCAUGGACGGGGACGCUGCUGCUGGGCACGUGCCUUCUGUACUGCGCCCGCUCCAGCAUGCCCAUCUGCACCGUCUCCAUGAGCCAGGACUUCGGCUGGAACAAGAAGGAGGCCGGCAUCGUGCUCAGCAGCUUCUUCUGGGGCUACUGCCUGACACAGGUUGUGGGCGGCCACCUCGGGGAUCGGAUUGGGGGUGAGAAGGUCAUCCUGCUGUCAGCCUCUGCCUGGGGCUCCAUCACGGCCGUCACCCCACUGCUCGCCCACCUGAGCAGUGCCCACCUGGCCUUCAUGACCUUCUCACGCAUCCUCAUGGGCUUGCUCCAAGGGGUUUACUUCCCUGCCCUGACCAGCCUGCUGUCGCAGAAGGUGCGGGAGAGUGAGCGAGCCUUCACCUACAGCAUCGUGGGCGCCGGCUCCCAGUUUGGGACGCUGCUGACCGGGGCGGUGGGCUCCCUGCUCCUGGAAUGGUACGGCUGGCAGAGCAUCUUCUAUUUCUCCGGCGGCCUCACCUUGCUUUGGGUGUGGUACGUGUACAGGUACCUGCUGAGUGAAAAAGAUCUCAUCCUGGCCUUGGGUGUCCUGGCCCAAAGCCGGCCGGUGUCCAGGCACAGCAGAGUCCCCUGGAGACGGCUCUUCCGGAAGCCUGCUGUCUGGGCAGCUGUCGUCUCCCAGCUCUCUGCAGCCUGCUCCUUCUUCAUCCUCCUCUCCUGGCUGCCCACCUUCUUCGAGGAGACCUUCCCCGACGCCAAGAACCCGACUUCAGAGCCUGAGGAGGCCGGUGCAGAAGCCAGGAUGUGGACAGAGGGGUCACCUGCGAUGGCCAGGUGCCGGCCCUGGCCCCCUCUGAGGCCACACUCCCCCCUGCAGGGCUGGAUCUUCAAUGUGGUGCCUUGGUUGGUGGCAAUUCCGGCCAGUCUAUUCAGCGGGUUUCUCUCUGAUCAUCUCAUCAAUCAGGGUUACAGAGCCAUCACGGUGCGGAAGCUCAUGCAGGGCAUGGGCCUUGGCCUCUCCAGCGUCUUUGCUCUGUGCCUGGGCCACACCUCCAGCUUCUGUGAGUCUGUGGUCUUUGCAUCAGCCUCCAUCGGCCUCCAGACCUUCAACCACAGGUGAGGGCCGACCGCUCCAUCCACCAGAGCGCCGUGCUGCCCGCACAGCCGAGGCUUGCACGCAUGAAGAGGGAGCUCUGUCCACCUCUCUCAGUCUCUUCCUCACACUUCACCCCCUUCCCAAGCUGCUGGGCAGCGACUGCAUUGAAGACCCAAUAGUUCUUUAGGAACCAGCAAUUCACAUCAUGGCAUUUCUGUUAACAUCCAGGACUUGGCCCCGUCCUGCGCCGGCUUUCUGUUUGGUGUGGCCAACACAGCCGGGGCCUUGGCAGGUGUCGUGGGUGUGUGUCUAGGCGGCUACUUGAUCGAGACCACGGGCUCCUGGACUUGCCUGUUCAACCUUGUGGCCAUCAUCAGCAACCUGGGGCUGUGCACCUUCCUGGUGUUUGGACAGGCUCAGAGGGUGGACCUGAGCUCUACCCAUGAGGACCUCUAGCUCCCAACCCCACAGCCUCUCCAAGGACCCAGGCGCCAGCAGCCCCGGGACACAGGGGACUCAGUGUGUGGGACUUGGUCACUCCAUGUCAGACACACGAGCAGAGAGGAACACAAACCACUGUGGAGCCUGAAGCUCCUUAAGAAGAGUCCACACCAGCUGGUGGGAGGGUGGGGUGGGCCUGGGUCCAGACCAGGCUCGCUGCUCUCUGGGCCUCAGUUUCCCCACCUGCCGGCGGGCUCGGCCCUGUCCUCCUCACAGGCUGGUGUGGCCGUCAGGGUGGGUGGGGUUAUUGUUAGUAGGCGCAGCCUCAUUCCCACCACGAUCUGUUCCGCGUGGUUCCCGCCAAGCCUCCCACAGUGCCGUGGUUCCCGCCAAACCUCCCUCGGUCGCCGUGUUCUCCGCAAGCCUCCCGCAGCGCCCGCCUGCCAAUGUGAGGCUGGCACCAGGCUGCAGCCUCCCCAGUCCCAGCCCACUUUGCUGUGUCUCUGGCGGGCUGUCCUCCUUGGUGGGAGCUGUCCUGCACACUGUAGGAUGCUUAAAGGUAUCCCUGGCCUCCACCCACCCCUAGCCAGCAGCUCCCAGUCAGACAACAGCCAGAAAUGUCUCCAGACUCUGCCCAGCCUCCCCAGGUAGCCACCCUCGAGACACGACCUCAGAGUCUCUGUGUGUCCCAGCAGCCUGACAGAGACCCCCAGGGCAGUGGGUGGGUGGCGGGCUAGAGACCCUUGCCUGUGUCCGGGACCCUGGCGCCGCUCUCCCCUCCUGUGGAUCCCUCCGCACUAGCAGUGUUCUCAGUGGGCAGACGCCUGGGCACCCCUUGGGCCCUGCCCAGCAUGGCCAUGGCACAGGCUCUUGAACCCGCAUGGCUUUCCCAGGCCUGGUGAUUCUGCUCUCCAGGGAUGGUUGGCACCUUCCUCGGGGGCGGGCCCCACGCACCCCAGAACACACAGACCCACCUUUCUGGCAUUCUUUCUACCUCCCUUUUCGUUGCCUGAGGAGCUGGUGGUUUCAUGAGUUAAUGAUACAUCUUGCAAGGUGUACACAUAGAGAAAAAAACCUAAAAAUGUGGAAAAGCACGCCAAAGCCUUAUUUAAAUAAUAACUAUUAAACUAUUCAAAAA